ensembl:snRNA U6 U6 spliceosomal RNA
GUGCUCUCUUCGCCAGCACAUAUACUAAAACUGGAAUAACAUACAGAGAAGGUUAGCAUGGUCCCUGUGCAAAUUCAUGACCCAUUCCAUAUUUUU